UGCGUAGGCGGGGCAAUUAGUCAGUGGUGGAAUCCUGCGGCUUAACCGUAGAACUGCCAUUGAUACUGUUGCCCUUGAGUAUAGUUGAGGUGGGCGGAAUGUGUAAUGUAGCGGUGAAAUGCAUAGAGAUUACACAGAACACCAAUUGCGAAGGCAGCUCACUAAGCUAUAACUGACGCUGAGGCACGAAAGCGUGGGGAGCGAACAGGAUUAGAUACCCUGGUAGUC
rnacentral:rRNA from 1 species